rnacentral:rRNA from 1 species
AACGUAGGUUCCGAGCGUUAUCCGGAUUUACUGGGCGUAAAGCGCGUUCAGGCGGUUUGGCAAGUCGGGCAUGAAAUCUCUCGGCUCAACCGGGAGAGGUUGUCCGAUACUUCCAGACUUGAGGGCAGUAGAGGGUGGUGGAAUUCCGGGUGUAGUGGUGAAAUGCGUAGAUAUCAGGAGGAACACCGGUGGCGAAGGCGGGAUCCUGGGCCAGUACUGACGCUGAGGAGCGAAAGCGUGGGGAGAAAACAGG